rnacentral:misc_RNA from 1 species
ACACCCUCAAGCUCUGCUUGGUGAUGGGCGUCUGUCCCGCCUCGGCGCGCGGACUCGCCCCAAACGCAUUGGCAGCGGUCCUCGCCCCCUCUCGCGCAGCACAUUGCGCUUCUCGAGGGCCCGGCGGCCCGCGUCCAGCAAGCUACCACACCGU